rnacentral:rRNA from 1 species
UACGGUGAGUGCAAGCGUUGCUCGGAAUCACUGGGCAUAAAGGGUGCGUAGGCGGCUUAUUAAGUCAGGUGUGAAAUCCCCCGGCUCAACCGGGGAACUGCUCCUGAUACUGGUAGGCUUGAGGGUAUGAGGGGAGAGCGGAACUCCAGGUGUAGCGGUGGAAUGCGUAGAUAUCUGGGGGAAGGCCGGCGGCGAAGGCGGCUCUCUGGUAUACCUCUGACGCUGAGGCACGAAAGCGUGGGGAG